rnacentral:rRNA from 1 species
CGCUGAGUUUAAGCAUAUCAAUAAA